rnacentral:lncRNA from 1 species
GAAGAAAAUUCCUACCCCAUAGUCCAACUUCAGGGUUAGUAAAUCAAAAGUCUGGCAAGAAUUUUUUUUUUUUUUUUUUUUUUAGAAAAAAGACAGUUAACAGUCAUAUUUGCAAUUUUAAUUUCUUUUUAUUUUGGAGAAGGACAAGAUCAUCACAAUUGAAGGUAGAAUCUGACUCCCAAAUUGGAUGCAGAGCAGGCCACCUGCGAAUCCAUCAUUCAAACUAAAACAAUGCACCCAGGUUGCUCGGAAAUUAUACCUAUCAUCACCAGAACCCCCAACCCACCUCACUGCAGCAGAGGAACUCAUGGCAUUAUGGGAGGUUGCCAUGGAACCCUCAAGACAUGAGAUGCUCUACCCGGUCUUCCCUUUUACCAACGCAACCCAAACCCAACAACCAUGCACAACAUACCAUCAUUAUGUGUUUGUUCUACAAAAAUGUCAUGAGAUGUCUAUCUAGAGCCAGCAAGAGGAAAAUGAAAGAGUAAAGGCACA